rnacentral:rRNA from 1 species
CGGGGUGCAGCAGGCGCGAAAACUCUACAAUGCAGGCAACUGCGAUAGGGGAACAUCGAGUGAUACUCAUAUUGGGUGUCUGUCCUUCCGUCUAAAAAACGGGAGUUAGCAAGGGCCGGGCAAGACCGGUGCCAGCCGCCGCGGUAAUACCGGCGGCUCGAGUGGUGGCCGAUAUUAUUGAGUCUAAAGGGUCCGUAGCCGGCUUGGCAAGUCUCUUGGGAAAUCCGGCGGCUUAACCGUCGGUCGUCCGGGAGAUACUACUUUGCUUGGGACUGGGAGAGGCGUGAGGUACUCAGGGGGUAGGAGUGAAAUCCUGUAAUCCUUUGGGGACCACCGGUGGCGAAGGCGUCACGCCAGAACAGGUCCGACGGUGAGGGACGAAAGCUAGGGGCACGAACCGGAUUAGAUACCCGGGUAGUCCUAGCCGUAAACGAUGCUCGCUAGGUGUCACGACAAUCGUGAAUUGUCGUGGUGCCGUAGGGAAGCCGUGAAGCGAGCCACUUGGGAAGUACGACCGCAAGGUUGAAACUUAAAGGAAUUGGCGGGGGAGCAC